rnacentral:rRNA from 1 species
AGAGUUUGAUCAUGGCUCAGGAUGAACGCUGGCGGCGUGCUUAACACAUGCAAGUCGAACGAUGAAGCCCAGCUUGCUGGGUGGAUUAGUGGCGAACGGGUGAGUAACACGUGAGCAACCUGCCCCUGACUCUGGGAUAAGCGCUGGAAACGGCGUCUAAUACUGGAUAUGUCCCAUCACCGCACGGUGUGUGGGUGGAAAGAUUUUUCGGUUGGGGAUGGGCUCGCGGCCUAUCAGCUUGUUGGUGAGGUAAUGGCUCACCAAGGCGUCGACGGGUAGCCGGCCUGAGAGGGUGACCGGCCACACUGGGACUGAGACACGGCCCAGACUCCUACGGGAGGCAGCAGUGGGGAAUAUUGCACAAUGGGCGGAAGCCUGAUGCAGCAACGCCGCGUGAGGGAUGACGGCCUUCGGGUUGUAAACCUCUUUUAGCAGGGAAGAAGCGAAAGUGACGGUACCUGCAGAAAAAGCACCGGCUAACUACGUGCCAGCAGCCGCGGUAAUACGUAGGGUGCAAGCGUUAUCCGGAAUUAUUGGGCGUAAAGAGCUCGUAGGCGGUUUGUCGCGUCUGCUGUGAAAUCCCGAGGCUCAACUUCGGGCUUGCAGUGGGUACGGGCAGACUAGAGUGCGGUAGGGGAGAUUGGAAUUCCUGGUGUAGCGGUGGAAUGCGCAGAUAUCAGGAGGAACACCGAUGGCGAAGGCAGAUCUCUGGGCCGUAACUGACGCUGAGGAGCGAAGGGGUGGGGAGCAAACAGGCUUAGAUACCCUGGUAGUCCACCCCGUAAACGUCGGGAACUAGU